rfam:Gossypium raimondii Chr02_contig_585, whole genome shotgun sequence.
UGUUAAAAAUUUCAUUCAUUUUUGCUAUUAAAAACUGAUGUGGCUAACGGAACAACCAGAAGUAACAUGUGGCAUGCCAUUGUACCUCAUAUUGAUGUCCAGAGACUGGUUUUUAAUAGUAAAAAUGGAUAAUUUUUUUAACA